CUGAGGAGCUGAAAUGCUGAGGAGCUGAAGUGCUGAGGAGCUGAAUUGCGGAGUUGUUGAGGAGUUAGGUGCGGAGGUGCUCAAGGGCAGAGGAGCUGAGGAUCCUGUUUCCAUCACUGAUUUUGCGAUGGAAAACGAUUUGUUGAGAAAAUUAAGAGAAAACAUGAAACGUCUCCAAAAAGAGGAAGAAAGAUCCAGACUUCCUCUUCUGUCAUCUACCACAGGAGAAAGGAGACGCGCUGAGGUUUCCAGGAGCCGAGAAAAUAUUAGGAUACACCUGGGCCAAGAUUUAACUUUAAAGAUGCGUUCCCAUCAGG